rnacentral:rRNA from 2 species
AGCGGCAGACGGGUGAGUAACGCGUGGGAAUCUACCUUGAGCUACGGGAUAACAGAGAGAAAUUUCUGCUAAUACCGUAUGUGGCCUUUGGGCGAAAGAUUUAUCGGCUUAAGAUGAGCCCGCGUUGGAUUAGCUGGUUGGUGGGGUAAAGGCCUACCAAGGCGACGAUCCAUAGCUGGUCUGAGAGGAUGAUCAGCCACACUGGGACUGAGACACGGCCCAGACUCCUACGGGAGGCAGCAGUGGGGAAUAUUGGACAAUGGGCGCAAGCCUGAUCCAGCCAUGCCGCGUGAGUGAAGAAGGCCUUAGGGUUGUAAAGCUCUUUCACCGGUGAAGAUAAUGACGGUAGCCGGAGAAGAAGCCCCGGCUAACUUCGUGCCAGCAGCCGCGGUAAUACGAAGGGGGCUAGCGUUGUUCGGAUUUACUGGGCGUAAAGCGCGCGUAGGCGGAUAGAUAAGUCAGAGGUGAAAUCCCGGGGCUCAACCCCGGAAUUGCCUUUGAUACUGUUUAUCUUGAGUGCAGAAGAGGUAAGUGGAAUUCCGAGUGUAGAGGUGAAAUUCGUAGAUAUUCGGAGGAACACCAGUGGCGAAGGCGGCUUACUGGUCUGCAACU